CUGUCACAACACUGAGGGGCAAAACGACAGCCGUGUCGCUAGGCCUGGAAUAGAUCUGCUGAAGACAUAGAAUGUGAUUGGAAUGGAAACUGGGAGACUGAGUCCCUGACUGGGCAGGAGGAAAUACCAAACGAAUCGUUCCUGUCUCGAAUGAUGCAGGCAGAGGAUAGGAAGAAAACAAAACUCAGUGUGAGUUCCAGCAAAGGCGUGGUGGAGGAAUAUUGUCUAAGAGAGCGACCAAAAGAGGACACAGCAAAAAUGAAGAACAAAGUGACCAGCACACAAGUGAUUGGUAAGAAGAAGGCCUGGUCGUGGGAUCAGUACCUGAGAGAGGAGAAGGCCAUAGCAGUUCCCCUCAGACUGUUCACUGAGGUAAGCAUCACCUUCAUCAACCAGUAGGACUAUCUACUACUAAAGAUUGACACGAGAGUCCUAUACAUUAGGGCACACCAUAACAACGGAACAUUUUGCAACAGAAAAUGAAAAUGUUCAGGUAGUUCCGCAUGUUUGUCUGUUUUCAUUCCG
rnacentral:lncRNA from 1 species